UAUGACGCGUGUUGGGUUUUAAAAUAACAUAAGACUCAAGUACAUUAUUCGUGACUUUAAAAAAAAAAAACUAAAAAAAAAAAAAACUAAAAAAAAUAAGCUACUAUAUAUAUAGGGCAAUAUUGGCGCCAGUUCUGGUUUUGACCACCGGAGGCAGCACCCAAGCCGACAACGCAGAUCUGCAUCACUUUUUUGUAUUUCUGUCCUAAUGCAACCAGUCCGGCCUGCAACAGUGACUCCAUCCAAACUGUAAAUCCCCUGGGAUGUUCGUCUGUGAUCUGCCAAGCUCAUCAGUGGAGAAGAGGAGAAGGCUAACUGGGAGCCUGUACUUGGCUGUAAAUCUGUCCUGGUUGGUAGGCGUUCCUGGGGUGCCUUCACUUCUACUGCAGCCAAGUCAGAGGAGGCAAAGUGAGGGAUGGAGAGGAGAUGGUCUUCUUUUGGCAAAUAAGGGGUAAAAAGGCCAUAAAACAAUGUUCAGCAUGCAAAAACACACUCCAAAUUUACAUCACCAGUUACAGUUCAAUGAAUUUUAAAUGUAGAAUUGUAAUUUAUUCCUGUGAAACUUAAAGCAUGUUAUGAAUUUCUUACUAAGAUAUUUAUGAGUAAUAAGAAAUAGAUAUUUCUUACAGCACAUUUGACGGUGCAGCACGGUGCAACGUCUUACUGAAUAUUCAUUUGAUGCUUUAACAUUUUUUAAAUCAACAAAACUCUGACUUCUAUAAGCUGAGUUAUGGCUGUGGCUUCAUUUUUUCAAAAAUUAUUUAGUAUUUUACUUUAGUGCUAAUUUAUAUAUUUUCAUAUAGAAAAUGAAAUGUAAUAUUGUCUUUAUGUUUUGAUUCUUCAAGUAUAUUUGU